UAUGCCUAAUAGCUAUGGCUUUGUAGUUUGACCGCCUCUACCGUCACUAUGCCUGGCUUUUGCUUUCUUAUUAUGUUCCUGCUAUUAGUACUUCCUCUCUCGUGUUCGUGCUCUUUGUAUUGAACUUAAUGUUGUAGUUAUUAGCUUUUGUGGUCUAAUGAACUCACUGAGUGUUUAUAAUCUUAUGACAAUGUUGAACUUGAUAAUAUCUUGCUUCGUUGUCAUGUUGAAUACGUGUGUUAAAACUAUGCUUCUUAUUGAAUGAUCAUUAUCUGCUUGACCACAUCGUUGGGACCGGCACCCUCGCGUCAAGGCGCGAUCCCUAGUACUACUAGAUACUGUAGCACCUUGGGGUCAACUUGAAAAGCACUGGCCUCGUCGCCUCCCACUCGUCUUGCUCCCACUUCAGGACCUACGUACACACCAAGGCCAUGCACCGCUUCUCCUCCACCACGCCAAUGUCGCCACCCCGCCUCCGCCUCCGCCUCCGACUCCGCGCCUGCCACUCCUCCUCCACCUCUCAUCCCUCACGCAUCUGGGAUCCCCACGCCGCCUUCGCCACCGCCACGGAGCGUGCGCGUUCAGGCAACCUCACCCCGGAGGACGCACACCACCUGUUCGACAAAUUGCUGCGGCAGGCCAAUCCUGUCCAGGAGCGUCCCUUGACUAACUUUGUGGCUCCCUCGCCCGCGCGCCCUCUUCGGCCGUUUAUCCCGAGGCGCCGGACGACGGGUGGCGCAGCCAAAUGUCUUCACCUAUGGUGUCCUGAUGGACUGCUGCUGCCGUGCACGCUGCCCUGAUCUGGCGCUCGCCUUCUUCGGCCGUCUCCUCAAGACGGGCCUCGAGGAAGACCAAGUCGUCUUCAACACCCUCCUCAAGGGCCUUUGCCACACAAAGUGGGCGGAUGAGGCUCUGGACGUGCUGCUUCAGAGGAUGCCUGAGCUGGGCUGCACUCCCGAUGUGGUGGCGUAUAACACCAUCGUCCAUGGCUUCUUUAGGGAAGGCCAAGUAGGCAAGCCGUGCGAUCUGUUCCAUGGAAUGGCACAGCAGGCCGUUAUGCCUAAUGUGGUGACAUAUAGCUCUGUUAUUGAUGCGCUGUGCAAGGCUAGAGCAAUGGACAAGGCAGAGGUUGAACUGCAACAUUUGGCAUUGUGCUGAUUUCGUACAACUUUUUUAAAGAGUUAAGCGUGAAAUAUCUUACUCCAAAAAUUUAUACUGUUGAAAGCUGAGAAGUUUGGUCUUGUUGCUUAAACAUCUUUCUGUUCUGUGGUUACUUUGCAUUUGCAGGGUCCUAUCUCACAACUGUCUGUCAGAACGGCUUACAUUUCUGUGCAUAUUUACUACUCUGACUUGGAAGCUGCAACUACAGGUACAUCAUCCUCUCUAAGAUCCAGGAUCACACGGGUAUGGCUCAUGCUGCCACGUUGCAACAAUUCGGCCGGCUAGGAGACACUUGGCCGCAGAGCAAAUGAGCUCUACUCGUGGACUAUGCAGCCUGAUUUGGCAGUACCAUGCGUGACUCUUAUGUAUCAUCAGUAUCUGUCCCAAGUGGAAAGUUGCACAGGGAAUGCUGAACGGUUAUCAGCUUGUGAAAUGCAUCAUUGUUGGAGCUGAAAAGAUCCGUUGGAAGCUGCAUUGUGGGGGAAGUGACGGUGAUGAUUAUUGAAGCUAACAUGCCAGGUUCUGCUCAUGGUACCCGAUUCUUGCAAUGGGAUGAACCCACCAACCACCAUACACUCACCAAGGACGAGCAGAUGGCCUGUGUCGAGCUUGAGUCAUUUAGCAUUUCCGUGGUUUGAGAGUUUCGAUCAAGUUAGUUUUCUUUUGGCUGGACGAACGAAGGAGUAUGAUCUGUUAUUUAUGCAUGCUUUUGGUUAGAAACAUGUGAACAAUAUAUGGUCUGUUAACCUUAUGUUGUCAGUCAGUAUAUACUAUAUAGUACUGCUUUUAUCUA